GAUGAACGCUGGCGGCGUGCCUAAUACAUGCAAGUCGAGCGAACGGACGAGAAGCUUGCUUUUCUGAUGUUAGCGGCGGACGGGUGAGUAACACGUGGAUAACCUACCUAUAAGACUGGGAUAACUUCGGGAAACCGGAGCUAACACCGGAUAAUAUUUUGAACCGCAUGGUUCAAAAGUGAAAGACGGUCUUGCUGUCACUUAUAGAUGGAUCCGCGCUGCAUUAGCUAGUUGGUAAGGUAACGGCUUACCAAGGCAACGAUGCAUAGCCGACCUGAGAGGGUGAUCGGCCACACUGGAACUGAGACACGGUCCAGACUCCUACGGGAGGCAGCAGUAGGGAAUCUUCCGCAAUGGGCGAAAGCCUGACGGAGCAACGCCGCGUGAGUGAUGAAGGUCUUCGGAUCGUAAAACUCUGUUAUUAGGGAAGAACAUAUGUGUAAGUAACUGUGCACAUCUUGACGGUACCUAAACAGAAAGCCACGGCUAACUACGUG
rnacentral:rRNA from 1 species